UGGGGAAUAUUGCACAAUGGAGGGAACUCUGAUGCAGCGACGCCGCGUGAACGAAGAAGGCUUUCGAUUCGUAAAGUUCUUUUACAUGGGAAGAUAAUGACGGUACCAUAAGAAAAAGCCCCGGCUAACUACGUGCCAGCAGCCGCGGUAAUACGUAGGGGGCUAGCGUUGUCCGGAAUCACUGGGCGUAAAGGGUUCGCAGGCGGAAAUGCAAGUCAGGUGUAAAAGGCAGUAGCUUAACUACUGUAAGCAUUUGAAACUGCAUAUCUUGAGAGGAGUAGAGGUAAGUGGAAUUUUUAGUGUAGCGGUGAAAUGCGUAGAUAUUAAAAAGAAUACCGGUGGCGAAGGCGACUUACUGGGCUCAUUCUGACGCUGAGGAACGAAAGCGUGGGUAGCAAACAGG
rnacentral:rRNA from 1 species